AUUCCUGCUGGUGGCCUAUGUGCCUGAAUAGGCCGGUGACCUGAGGUUGGCAUGCAGCCAAGGCCUUGGCUUGGAUGUAUCAUCAUCAGUGUAGGUCGUCAAAAAUCAACCUGUGUGGUCAAUAAGAUCCCAACCUUGGGGUUAGUAAGCACCCGAGCCAUAGGUUGGAUGUAGGCCGAUGAAAUCAUUUUGACCCAACUCUCCAUGGCAGUCUUUAUGAGUCGUUGGCUGGAGUCAUCGACAUAAGUCUGACCACU
rnacentral:lncRNA from 1 species